AUUGAACGCUGGCGGCAGGCUUAACACAUGCAAGUCGAGCGAGCGGCGGACGGGUGCGUAAUGUAGGGGAAACUGCCUGAUGGAGGGGGAUAACUAGUGGCAACGGUAGCUAAUACCGCAUACCAUAAGAUGUGGCGAGAUGGGAUUAGCUAGUAGGUGGGGUAAUGGCUAAACUAGGGGACGAGCCCUAGCUGGUCUGAGAGGAUGAGCGGCCACACUGGAAUUGAGACACGGUCCAGAAUCCUACGGGAGGCAGCAGUGGUGAAUAUUGCACAAUGGGCGCAAGCCUGAUGCAGCCAUGCCGCGUGUGUGAAGAAGGCCUUCGGGUUGUAAAGCACUUUCAGCGAGGAGGCGUUACUCGCAGAAGAAGCACCGGCUAACUCCGUGCCAGCAGCCGCGGUAAUUC
rnacentral:rRNA from 1 species